ACCUGGAGCUUGCAGUUAAUAUCACCAAAGAUAUCGAAAGUCACCUUCUCAAUGCAUAACGCCAAGACCAUAUGUACCGUUUGCUAGUAUUUCUCUCUUAAAUAAAGUUUGGAACUUGGAUGUGCAUCUAUGUACUAUCUCGACCUUUUAAUAAACGCAAAUUCCAGCUGUACUGGAGUUGGUGACUAAUGCCGAGAAGACAAACUAGGUUCCCGAUCCUCAGUUAUUUAUGCAAUAAUAUUAAUUAGUGCAUGCGUGUGAUUAGUUGUAUGGUUCUGGGAGUUGCUUUGUGAUUGUUAAUCGGUGUCUUUUGUAGUGGGAUUAUUACAUGCAUGUAAUGUGAAGAACAUAUGAUCCAUGAGGAAAUAAAUUAAAUGAAAAUUACCCAGGCUCCAUCAUGAGGAGCCUUUGAGCAUGCCCACAAGCCUACGUUCCUGCAUUCAAGUCACAUAUGUGAAAAUUCCACUUUGCACAUAAUCUAAAUAAUUUAUCUAAAAAUCUAAGAAGUAAUCUCUCUCUCCAUCUAUGUCUCUCUCUCCCCAUCUAUAUGUACCUCAAAUGAAGAGGUAAGGUAAUGUAAAAUCCCCACCUCAAAUUUAGGGAUAUUUAUAUAAUUUGAAAAUUUUAAAAAGACCUACAUUAAUUUUGUAAAUAUUUAUGUAAUCAACUUUCUCAGAUUAAUUAAAUAAAAAAUUGACCAAGAUGAUUAAAAAUGCAAAUUUGAUGAGGACAUGAAGUAAAAAGUGGUAGGGUUUAAGGACAAUGGCUUCUACUGAAUUUUGGUGAGGUGGUGAUACAAUGAGGAAAAUAGAUUAAUAAAGUUUAUCCAUGGAAAUAGAAAAUAGAAAACAAAAAAUAUAAAAUAAUAAUAAUAUUCAUGUUAAUCAUUUAAUAAAUAUAAUAAAUGCAAUUAUAUAUGCUAAGUGAAAAUAACAAUAUUAUUAUUAUUAUUAUUAAUGCUUAUGAUAGGUGAGAAUUAAGUCUUUUAGAAAUUUGAGUAAUUUUUUCAAGGUAAAGCUUAUAGUUCAUUAAGUCAUUUUAUAAUUCCUUAUAUAUUUUUUUAUUGAUUUUUAAAGUAUCAAAAUGUGUAAAUUCUUUAAAGUGGAUCAAAUAGUUUUUUUUUUUUUUGAAAUAUUUUGUGAUUUGUUUGGUUGUUAUGAAAGUGAAUUUUAUUACUUAAUUUAUUAUAAUGAUUUUAAAACUCUAGUUAUUAGUGGUUUUAGUCAACAAGGAUAAGUUAUUAACCUUCUUUACCUUUGGUCAGUGAAGGGAUGUAGUAUAACACUAGCCAAUAAAUGUGUCAUUGGUCUUGUAUACUAUUGAUUAGAAAUUGUUAUGUCCACCAAUGAGAGUAUUAAAGUGAGGUGAGCCACCUAAUGUAAGUCCCAAUAUUUGGGCACAACGUUAUUAUUAAUUAAUAAACAAAAAUAAAUAGUUUAUUUAUAAAAAUUUUUUUCUAAAUAUAAAUUGAGUAUGCAAAUUGUAUUUUUUAAUUCUAUCUUUAAAUUUAAAGUGUUUAAUCUUUUGAAGAAAGUGAAUUUAAUUUUUUGAAGAAAGUGAAUUUAAUUUUUGAAUUAAAUAAAUUAACCUGAUAAUUGAUUUUUAUAAAAAUUUGAUAUCUCUUAGAAUUUAAUUCUCUACAAUAUAUACCUGAUUUUUUUCAUUGAACUAUUUUUUCUUAUUGAACCAUUGAAGUCACCCUUCUUUAUUAUUCCCCUUUUCAUAUACAAAUGGUAUAAGUGAGAAGGGAUUACGGGAGGAGAAAUGUUUCUAUUAUAAACAACUUUGGAAUUGAAUUAUGUUGGAUUGUGAAACGUGAAUCGGUUUAAUUUAUUGUAUUUUGCAAGGAAUGCUAGAGGUCGAGUGUCUAAUUGAGCUUGCGGGGAUCAAGAGUCUUGAUCGGUUCGUUGGGACUUGGGAUUGAGUUGUCCAAUCAGCUCAUGGGGUUAAAGGAAUAUCCUUCGAUUUUUUUUAAUACGAUGAAUAACGAGUUUGUCCUAAUUGUAUAUUUAAUCUUAUUAUAAUUUAAAGUUUCUUUUUAGAGAGUGUGUGACUGCAAUCGAAAGGAUAAUGAGUGUUUAGUACUCGUCUUAUUUUUUUCUGAACCAAAUUAAAAAUCUAUUGUUUUUCUUUAUUUUCUAAUCGUGUGUGCAUGAUUUGAUCAACAAAUUAUUUAUAGGAUUGUUUACUUAAAUUUGAUUGUAAUUUAUUUAAGUUUUUAGGAGAAUCAUUAAAUUUAUUAUUACAAUAUUUUAUUAGUUUUGAAUUUGUUAUUUAAAGUGAUUCAUUUACUUGGUUCAAAGGUUUGACAUAUAAAGUCACCGUGGUUCCCUUGGUGUCGCGGGUGAUUUUGUAAGUGCCUUCGGACUACAGAAUAUUAAUUAACCUACCAAUCUUCAAUGUAAUCUAAGAUGCAGAAAGAUCUUGUGGGUUAAGGUCAAGUGGGCGCUUCAAUAUUUAUCAUGUCUUCAAAAAAAACUUCAGGGCCCCAGUCCAGAUUCUCAGAUAUGGAUUCUAACAGUUGCUACCAAUCACGGGGGUGAAAACAAAUCAGUGUCGCAGAAAUCGCUAUCAAUGUGGUACUGGAAAAAAAAGAAGAGAUUCCUCCACUUGUUCUUGAAAUUUAUCUGAACGCAUGCAAUAAAUCAAUGCUCCAUAAUCUCCUGCACAUGCAAAUUAAAAUCAAAAUCAGGCCAUUGGCCUCUCACAUUACCAUUCUUGGCCGUUUUCUGGUGUGCAUAUAAAGAGUAAUAACCACACCAUCCAUCUUUUACUCUGGUUGUCACACUCCCACCACUCUCCCACCACUUCUUCCCUAAUCUCCUAACAUCAAAUACAAAAAUGCCACAUCCUUAUUAUUGAAAAUUAAAUUCCCAUACAUAUAAAUCUUAUGCCAGAUUUUUUGUUGAUUGGAUGAUAUUCGGCCAUAUAAAAUUCAGUAUCAAUCACAAACAUUCGUUAUCCAAUCUUGAUACCGAAGAGGAUAGAGUAUCAAUCCAUCUAUGGGCCCGGUGCACCAGGCCUUCCGCCUAUAAAAGUUUUCUAGGGUGGUGAACUAUAUUCUUCAAACACAGCCUUGGCUAGUUACUAUCUGGUUUCCAAAGAAAGAAGAAAUGGCUCAGAUAGAUAAGAUGGAAACCCAUGUAGAGAAAAAGUCCCCUGCCAAUGAGUUCUACGAGGUCUUCAGCAGCAAAGCUCAUCUCAUUCCCAAGGCCUGCCCUGACAAAAUCAAGAGCAUCGAAGUGGUUGAAGGUGAUUGGAAGAGUGUGGGCUCUGUCAAGCUCUGGACUUACUGUAUCGGUAAGGCAACGCUAACCAUUAUUCCCAUGCCACCCUCAAUCAAACAAAAUAAUACACUCAGCACAUGGACCUUCUUGUUUUUAAUUAUUAUUGCUGUGGAAGAUAAUAAUAACAAAACAAAGGGAAUGACCCCUUCUGAUACGGGUGCCUCCUCAUAUUAGUUUUUUGAAGUUCUCCAUGCAAACUAAAGUAGAAAUCAAUCUUUAGGCACAUCCCUUAUCUGAGCUUCACAUGACCUUAGUUUCAUUUUAAAUUAACCUGCAGGAGGAAAUACUUCGUCUAGCAAGGAGAGGGUGGAAAAGAAAGACGAUAAGAACAAGUCCAUCACUUUCAAGGCUCUGGAUGGAGAGGUCAUGAAGGAUUUCAAGAGCGUCAUCUCCAUCCUUGAAGUGAGUGCAAAGGAUGACGGCAGCCUGGUGAAAUGGACUUUGGAAUAUGAGAAGUCAAAUGAGAAACUCCUACCUCCAGAUGCUUACCUCAGCCUUGUAAUUAGUAUGAGUAAAGAAAUCGACGCUUACCUUCUCAAGGCAUAAGCCGCAUAACAAGCCCUAUAUCCUUGACUUGAUAUGAAAGCAUCCUAGCCUGGGUCCUCCUGGGAAUAACGGAGUUGCUAUGCGUACCUCCAUAUUAUAUUAUCGACACCUACUGGCUACUGCUGUACUCCAUGUAACUUCUUGCUGUACUUAAUUAUAUGAGCUUCCUGAAUUAAUGUUGGAAUGAUAAAUCAAGCUUUAUGGUAGAAUCAAAUGAUUGCUCUAUCAUGGAAUAAAUUUCGCAAUAAAAAUAAAUAUUAGAGGAGAGUUAUGAAACGAAGCUUUUUUUUCUGCAUCAAAUUAACUUUUCAUACACUGUUUUUAAAACAAAUCAACAUACAAUGAUCUUAUGUUGUACCUUUUCCGUUGCAGAUUGCUUUUAAAAAUGUUCUCCCCACAGGCACUUCUAUGGUAUCUUUUCAAAAUUGCUAUUAUAUAUGUUUAAUUAACCAUUCAUUUUGGUCUAAAGCUAGGACGAACUUCUAAGACUGCCACGGAGACUCUGGAAAUCAACAGAUGAAGAAAAAAAUAAAAUAUAUCCAUGACUUCCAAGGUUUUGGAAGCAGAGGUCAUGAAUCAUUUCAAGAAGAUUCAAGUCAUCCAUGCAAGUAACAGCAAAGGAUAAGCGCAGCUAGGUGAAAUGGAGACUGGAUAUUGAGGGUCACUAUCUCAGAUUCUCAAGGCAUAGCAUUAAAAACAUAUCCUUUAAUUGGUAGUAUAAUCUCAAACUUGUAUGUAAAGACCAGACCGUGGAAGUGCAUAUAUGCAUUUUAUUCUUCAAUAAGCGCAGGCUUAGGGGGUAGUUCAAUAACCUCUGGGCUUAGUCAAUCCCGAGAAGAUAUUAAUAAAUUUCCCUGGAUUAUUCCUCUCAUGAAUAUCAGUGCCUGUAAUUUGGUUGUGUGCUAACGGGAGUUGCCUCUUGCGAUCGGUUGGGUUCUUUAAUAAACGCAUUAUUAGGUAUGAAUGAUCAGGAAAUUGAUAAGUAAAAAACAAUUUAAUUAUUUCACUUAAGUCAUAAACCAUUAUGAGGAGCCUUGGAAUAUAUGCAUGAGUCUAGAUUCUCGCAGCCACUAAUCACGUAGUCAAAAUUGGCCAGUCGCAAACAUUCCAAUCAUUCUUUAUGAUAAGAAAGAAGAGUUCACUCUUCUUUUUCUCGAGUUUUUUAUUUGGAGAGAGCAAUUUAUCAGCCUCACAUUUUGAGACCUUUCUUGGCACAUCACUUUCAGAAUCUGAUUUCCUAGCUCCACUAUAGAAGUAAAGCCAGUUGGGUAUCACAUUCUUGUUUUAUGUCUCCUUGAGUGGGUCGGGUGUAUAUAAAAAUUUGCCAGUUGAAGAUUUUCUUUGUUAUGCUAGUCUUUCUUUUUCUAACCUCCUGAUAUCAAAUGGGAAAAUGCCAUAUCGUUACUGGACAAUUGACCCAUAAUGGAGAGACUUUUGUUGGUUGGACUUGGGCUUUUAUAUAACUCAGCAACUAUCAUAAUUAUAGGAGAAAUUUGAAGUAACCAUAUUGAUUUGGGUCUACCAAGAAGCAAGGUGAAUCGUAACAUAUCAUGCAUAUAACUUGAUUCAAUUAUUUUAUAUUCUACUUGUUUCUUAUGUAUUUUUACUUUUAUCAAAUAGUUUAGAUAUCAUUACCAAAUAUUCUCCUGACAUUUUCCUAUUAUUUCUGUAAGAUGCUAUAAUCUACACCCAAAGUAGUGGACCACUUACACUUUAUUAUGUACUAACCACGAUCAUAACUUACAUUCUCCACCUUGGCCUCUCUCUUAUCCCAAAAAGUAAAGACUCAGGGUUCGUAUCCCUUCCCUUCUGUCUAUAUAGGUCUAAGAGUAGUCAAGUGUUUCCUUCAAUAGCCUUCAUAUUCUUGGCAGUAACUAGGUACUUGGUUUUCAAACACAACAAAAAUAAUGGCUCAAAUUGCCAAGAUGGAGGUCCAAGCAGAGAUCAAGUCCCCUGCCAGUAAGUUCCACGAGGUCUGUAGCCGUAAAGUUUAUCUCGUACCCAAGGCUUGCCCUGAAAAAAUUAAGAGCAUUGAAGUAGUUGAAGGUGACUGGAAGACUGUGGGCUCUGUCCAGCUUUGGACUUAUUUCAUCGGUAAGGCAAAAUCCAUCAUUCCACGCCUCCCCCAACAAACACAAGGACACAGAGCUCAAUUGUACUUCUAUUAUUAUUACUAUUAUUAGGAAAUAAUGAUAAUCUAAUGGUAAUGUGACUCUACUCAUGCCGAUAUAAACCCCGUAAUCUUGAUCUCAAAUUGCUAUCAAACAAAAGAAUAUCAAAUAAAGGUAAAGUGUGUCCCCUAUAUUUAUACGUAGAUAGAUGAGUUCUAAGCUUAGCACCAUGUUUUCCAUUUGAAAAACAGGAGGAAAUACCGAAGAGGCUAAGUUGGUGGUUGAAAGGGUAGACGAGGAAAACAAAACGGUCACUAUGAACGUUGUGGAAGGAGAUAUCGUGAAGUAUUUCAAGAUCUUCAAGUGCACUAUUCAAGUAACCGUAAAGGAUAAGGGCAGCUUGGUGACAUGGAGUGUGGAAUAUGAGAAGCUAAAUGAGAGUGGCCCCGCUCCAGAUGCUUACCUCAACUUUGCAAUGGGUAUCGUUGAGAACGUGGAUGCUUACCUUCUCAAGGCAUGACAACAAAGGCGUAUUCAUGAGUCAUGACAUGGUAUGAAGCACUGGUACAACAAAAACUUGGGAAUAAUGUACCACACGCCAUGUCCUCAACUUCUACUGGUCAUCGCUAUAAUAUUAAAAGUAACUUCUUAUUCUACUUAUAUACCUUCCAAGUACUUUGUGUCUUGAAUGUUAUUAUCUAAAAAUAAAAAUAGAAAAUCUCGAAGAAGAGCAUUGUCCUUCGACACUUUUCUUUCUUUCUUUCUUUCUUCACUGCUGAGAAUCUCAACGUACGACUACCAUUUGCAUUAUGGACCCAUGACUGCCAUCCUUUGACCACAUUUGUUGCCCUCCCACCAAACUCCUACGCGUCAAAAUUUCUAUUGUUGCUUGAACAAUAUUUUCAUUUGAAAAACAAGGAAACGAUUUAAAAAUUCUUAUCUCAUGUCUAGUUACCCCGGUCGACCAUAUAAAGUACCACUUGAUCACUCUAGUCUCCUUUGCUAGCCCAUGGGCAAUGCAAUACCCAGCAGGUCCCAGUAACCAACUCUAUGUUCCUCCGAAAAUGAAACAAAUCAGGUCGUUUCAGGGAUGCAUUUGAUCUCACCCUUUUGUUUUGUGUCCGUUAUUUUUUAUUUUAAUAUCACAUGUUUAUAUUUUAAUCUCAUUCUUUACACCUGGAUUUGCUGAUAAAGGCAACUUUCUUUUUGAGCUUUGAUCGAGAUUUUUAUGAAAUUCCUGUGAUAUUACCGUCCUGCUCCUGCUUAAGAAUGUAACUUUGAUUUUGCUUUUAGUGAAGUCUUUAGGUGUUGUUUAUUCCCCAAAAUCUUUUGAUGUUUCUGAAAUUGCUUCAGUGGACUUUGAGAGGUUGCAGGUACCUCUUUUCUCCUGAAAUAGAAUUUGUUUCAGUGGAGCAAGACAACAGGAUGAGCAAAAAAUAGAACCAAUUUUAUUGAUAUAUAUCAGGUUUUUGAGACGUUGAAGAACAUUUCUAACAACUUUUUUUGAUGGGUGACCAAGCCUAUUAUGCCACAAUGCAUAUACAGAACAAGAAGAAAAAGAAGCAGGUGUUGGAACUACAGAAGAAUUGUAUACUAAGGGUUGUGUUGACAUACUGACAUAUGACUUAUGAGGAGUUGAGGGAGAGAAGCUGCCACUGAUUAUUAAUGAGAUCAAUUUGAGACUGAUAAAAAACAUAAAGACCAUCUUUAGGCCUACCCCUCCAGUAGCACUGUUUUGAAGUGAAAUUCAAAGAAGACAUUCUUUUGGGCAAAUUUUGACACACUGAGAAGGUUCUAAUUAGCAAUUUCAGGGACAUGAAGUGUUUUAAAGAGUAAUUUCAGCAAACAUAACUUCAACUUUACAUCCACCUGACCUCAUUAUUUCAGUUUGACAAGAGGGCUUAAUUAUAUCAGUAUGACUGCUAAGAAGACUUUGGAAUAUUAUAAAACGAGUCCAUCAAGUUCAAGGUUUGGAAUGGAAAGAUCAUGAGUAAUUUCACUACUUUUAAGCUGAAUAUGAGAAGGUAAAUGAGGAUGUCCCAGACCCAAUGCUUACUAAAUCAUUGAAGGUCACCUUCUUGAGGCAUAAUUCCAAUUCUUUUCAUCGAUGCUUCUUAGAUGUUAUAAAACAAUACUAUGAAAAUGAAAACGUAAUGUAAUUUUGUCAAAGCCUUUUCCUUAUUGAAGACUCUGGACUGAUUGCGUGGGUGCGCAACACCCACCAUAAUUCCCACACCAACGCCCAACUAACCAAAUCACGUAAGGCCUCACAUGGCCUCAUUAUUAUUUCUGUUGAAAGAUAAUACUAUAUUACAUACGAGAUGGCCAUUCUACCAGCCACCUGUAAAGUUGGUGAUAAAUUGAUACUAAAAAUAGAAGGAAAAUUAAGUUGAAAUUAAGGGUGUCUAUUUAAAUUUAAUUAUUCCCUAGAUAUGAUCUUUUGAUAUGAUUUGAACCCGUUAAUCAUUUAUUUUUAUAUAAAGAGACAAAAAUUCAAUUGUAUAAUCCAGGAUGAGUCACUUGGCCGGGUUUUCGACGACAGCUAAAUCAACCUUCAUUUAGUAAUGAUUGCCCAUGAAAUAAAUUAUCAUGUCUCCUCACAAUAUAAUAAACUAAUAAAAAAUAAAAGAAGAUCACAAAGAAAAGCAUCUUAGUGGAAGUUUUUUUUUUUUUUUUUUUCUUUCAUUUGUUGGUGGUGACACUCCGUGAAAUGUGAUCAACUAGCAUUUGAAUUACACAACCUAAUGCAAAUGAUAAAAAGCAUAAAUUACUUUAGAGUGUUUAGAAUUUGGAAGACUCUAGCUAGGAUGAUAUGGCAUGGGUCUGUGGCCGACAACCACCAAACCCAACGCUAAAUAAUUAUUAUUGAACCAUCAUCAUCAGUAUAAGCAACAUCAAACCUCUCCAUGUUAAACUGUACAUUUUAUUUCAUCCGGAUCUAAUAUCUAAUUAUAAAUGAUUAUGUAUGAGAUUGCAAUCCUUUGCUUAACUCUUUGAAAAUCUAAUUAUAAAUAUUUGGAAUAUCGAUUUCAUCUCUACCAUUAAAAGCAUAUGAAAAAAAUAUCUUGGUCUUUGAAUAAAAGUAAGUAUAAAUAAUUAGACUAGGGUACCAAAUGAUGAAAUCAAAUAUAAAUGAAUUAUAACCAUCAAAUUUCUAUUUUUCAUUAUUAAAUCAUUGGGCGCUCCAAUUUUUACAUGAUGUAUAACUAUUGACGGAAAUGUUAAUUAGGGAUGGCAACGGGGCUGGUUUUUUCGGGUACCCGCCCCCCCCUCCCCCCCCCCCGCCCCUAAUGGGACGGGGUUGAAAUUUAAUAAACGGGUUUUUAACGGGUAUGAGAUUUUUUUUUAAAACCAGGGGCGGGUUCGGGACGGGUUCGGGACGAGUUCGGGUAUUGCCCCAUUCCGCCCCGCCCCGCCCUGUUUACAUAUAAAAUCAAUUUUAAAAUUAAUUUUAUUUUACUAUUUUUAAUAUAUAGAUAAUAAUAAAAAAAUUAAUAAAAUAAGUUAUAAAAAAUAUAAUAAUUUUAUUAUUUAUAAAUAUAUUUAUUUUAAUGUAAUUAAAAAUUUUAAAAGUAAAUUUUUUUUUUUAUAAAAAAAAGGAGGCUAAACGGGGCGGGACGGGGAUGAGAAUUAUUUUUAAUAAACGGGGCGGGGUUGGGAUGGGGGCAACCCGUCCCGAACCCGCCCUGUUGUCAUUCCUAAUGUUAAUAUAAGGAUAUAAUAAUGGGUAAAAUUAGUUGAAAGUGUUUUUUUUAUGACAUAAAAUAAUUUUUCAAAUUUUAAUUUCUAUUUACUUUGUCUUCCCUUGUCAUGUAUCUUUGUAAUUUUCCGAUUUGUUUAUCAAAACAAUAAAUGAUGUCAUGUUAUGAUUUCUCUUUUUGUCUUCCUUUUUAAUUGACGUGUUUAUUGGAAUAAUAUAUUAUGUUAGACAAAAUAACACAUACCUCCACUGCCCAAAUCCCCUCCGUGACAAUGAACCCCAUCUUUAAGCAUUAUUAUAAAAUUAAGCAUAAAGUUAUUACAAGUUUCUUCCAUUUCACAUGCCUUUCCCAUAGAUUGAGUGGUGGAGAUGAUCAUUCUUGAACGAUUUAUAAUUUUAAUGAAUUCUGUCUAUUCUCAUAUCUUUUAAGAGGGAAUUCAAAUCAACUUAUCUUAUUUUCUCAACGCUACUUAACUUCCACGGCUUCAAAUUUACAUGAUCAUAUCAUUAUCAAUAACUUCGGCAUAACUAUUCAAAUUUUAAUAAGAACUUCAAAUCAUUGUUACCUUUAUUGCCUUAAAAAUCUUUUUCUUUGUCAAUGAUCCCUGCACGAUUAUUAAAUAAUAGGAUUGUUAUUGUCAUAUUAACUAAUUUUGAUAAUAUAGUCAUCGUCACGGCUGAGUGCCGUUUUCUUGGGAGAUUUUUCAUAAAUUUAAAUCAAUACCAGUUAUAGGAAAUGCGUCACAAAUUAGGAAGAUAUCGAGCUGGAAGCAGAUGAUAUAUAAUUCAUUAUUUUCUUCCUUAUUGAAGCUUGACAAACCAAUCCAAAUGCAUUAACGUGAGAAGCAAGGUUUUAUGCUCAUUUUCAAUGAACCUUGUCAACAUGCACGUCAAAAACAAUGAUUUAUUAACUACGUACAUGUAGAACUGCAUGGGAAAAAAAAAAUACAAUUAAGGCAUUGGGAUAUGAAUAAAACGCUUAACUUAAAAUUCAAAAUUCUCAAAACUACGUUUUUCACACCAAAAUGUUUCAUCCAGCCAACCUAAGACCGAGUGAAUCCUCCCUCUAAAGCACAUUGCCCAAGACUACAGGCAACGUAGUAAUUACCUAAGCAAAUACGUCAGAAUCAUACCAAUUUUUACCAAAGUGGGUAUCGGGAAGGAGCUUUGCCUAAUUCAUCCUUCUAUAUAUAAGGACAAGGUUAUCUACUUCUUCUCAUCACUGCCUUCUGUUUGAAUAUUUUGUAGUUAGUUUUAUCAAUCCAGCUAGUGUUAUUAUCAGAAAAACAUGGCUCUAACUGGUAAGUUGGAGACUGAAACAGAGAUCAAAGCACCUGCUGAUAAGUUCUUUAAAAUCUUCAGGAGCCAAGCACACCACCUUCCUAAUAUCUGCUCCGAUAAAAUACACAAAAUCGAGGUACAUGAAGGUGACUGGGAGACUCAGGGCUCCGUCAAGCAUUGGAGUUUGACCGUUGGUAAGGCAUCUCAAACUAAGAACCACAAAACACUAGCGUUAUAUUCUGUUAAUUAAAAUAAGUUAUUAUGUUUUUGUUUCAUUUCAUUGUUGUUUUCUUCACCUUUCAAUUAUUCUAUUAGAAUAAAAGCAUGCCUCUUUGUACAAUUUUUUUCUUGCAAAGAAGUGAUCGAGUCUGGGCCGCUAGUGACUAUGAUGGUUCUUAGGAAUGUACAUGACAUCUAAUAAUAGCUUCAACAUAUUCCAAUUAUGUUUAACCUCACAUUUUGGUUUCAACUAGGAGAGAAUUCUGAGAGUAUUAAAGAGACUGUGGAUCAAAUAGAUGAAGAAAACAGGUCCAUCACAUUCAAGGUUUUGGAUGGGGAGGUGCUGAAAGACUACAAGAGCUACAAGUUCACCACACAAGCGAUACCAAAGGGGGAGGGCUGCUUGGUGAUAUGGACCAUCGAAUAUGAGAAGGCAAGUGAGGGUGGCCCAGAUCCCCAUAACUGCCUAGAGUUUUCAGUUAAUAUCACCAAAGAUAUCGAAAGUCACCUUCUCAAUGCGUAACACCAAGGCCAUAUCCACCCUUUGCUAGUAUCUUGCUCGUAAAUAAAGUUUGGAACUUGGAAGUCCAUCUAUCUCUAUCUUUCAAUAAACGCAAAUUCCAGGUGUGGACUUGGUGAUUAGUGCCGAGAAGAUAAACUAGGUUUGCCUUGGUUAUUUGUGCAAUAAUAUUAGUGCAUGAGUGGGAUUGAUUGUAUGCUAUCUUGUCCGGGAGUUGCUUUGUGUCUUUUGUAAUGGGAUUACUACAUGUAAUGUGAAGACUAUAUGAUGCAUGGGGAAAUAAAUUAAGCGAAAACUUCCAUGGGCUCCAUCAUGAGGAGCCUUUGAGUAAGUCCACAAGCCUACAUUCUUGCAUUCUAGUCACAUGUGUCAAAAUAAGUCUCUACAAAUUAAAGUCUUAUUGUCAAAAUCCCACUUUACACAUAAUCUAAAUAAUUUAGCUAAAAUCUAAUAAGUAUGUCUCUCUUUAUAUGUACUUACCAUCCCAACUUUUAAAUUUAGGGAUAUCUAUGUAAUUUAGAUUUUAAAAAGAAAAUUUUAGGGAUAUUUACAAAGAUAAAUGAAAUAUUUUUGGUUCCGAUAACCAUUAUUUUUAUCUCAUUUUGGUUUCUUUGCGUUAUAAAAAAAAUGGUUUGUAGAGAUAAACUAGAGAAAAAAAAAAAUUAUACAAUGGUUUGUAGAGAAAUUUGAUUCGAAAAGUUAGAAAAGAUGAUUUGUUUUUUGCAUUUGCUUCAUUCUAAAAUUCAAUCACUAUCUUUUAUCUCAUUUUGGUUUCCCCACAUUAUCAAAAAAUGAAGGAUAAAAAUAAACUGGGGAAAAAAUUAUACAAAGGUCUCCGAGAACUUUGAUUUGAAGAGUUAGAAAAGAAGAAUUUUUUUGCAUUUGUUUCAUUUUAAAAUUCAAGGUUUUUGGAUUUCUAUUAUAUAUUAAUUAUGAGGAUAGUAGAAUAAUAAUAAUAAUAAACAAAAACUAGUUAUUAGUGACCUUGAUCAAUAGAGUAUAAGUUGUUGACCUUUAUUAUCUUUGUUAGAAGUAGUUAACGAUGCAAUGUAACCUUAGCCAAUAAAGAUGUUUUGAUAUACAUUGAUUGAAAAAUGUCCUUUUAAAACUAGUUAUUAUUGACCUUGGUCAACACAGAGGAUAAGUUGUUGACCUUUAUUACCCUUGUUAGGAGUAGUGAACGGUGUAGUAUAACCUUAGUCAUUAAGGAUGUUAUUAGCCUUUUGCUAUAUCAUUGAUUGAAAGUUGUCCUAUCCACCAAUAAGGAGAAUGAAGGCUAGCCACCAAGUACUAGUUUUAGUAUUUUGGCACAAUAUUAUUACUAGUGAGUCAAAGUGAAAUAUUUGUUGAUAAAACUUUUUUAAUAUGAAUUGAGUAAGCAAAAUAUAUUAUUUAAUUCUAUCAUUAAAUUGGAAGUGUUUAAAUUUUCAAAAACAAUUAUUUUAAUUAUUGAAUCAAAUGAGCUUACAUGUUAAUAGACUUUUAUAAAGAUGUGGUAUCUUCCGAAAUUUUAUUAUAUAUAAUAAUUGAUCUUCCUUAUACUAACUUUUAUCAUUGAGCCAUCGAGUUCACUUUUCUCUGUUAUUCUCCAUUUCAAUUAUAAAUGAUAUAAAGAGGGAUGAGGUAAGAAAAAUAUUUCUAUUAGAGACAGCUUUGGAAUUGAUUUAUUUUAGGAUUAUUUACUAGACUGAAUUCAUUUAUAAUUUCUAAAUUUCUUUUUGAAGAAUUUGAGAAAAUUAAAUUAAUUAUUGAGAGAUUUUAAUUAGUUUUAAAUUUGUUACUUAAAGUCGUUCACAUGUUGGAUUCUAAUAUUUGAUACGUGAAACUAGCAUGAAGGGCUUGACCUCCGGGUUUGGGGCGUCGCAGCUGACUUUAGAUUACAGAAUUAUUAAUCAACCUACCAAUCUUCAAAGCAAUCUAGGAUGCAAUAUGGUUUUGUGAUUUAAGAUCAAGUGGACGCUUCAUUUAUUAUGUCUUCAAAAAAACAUUUUGGGCCUCAAUUCGAGAUUAUCAGAUAUGGAUUCUAACAGUUGCUUCCAAUCAAAUCAGUGUCACAGAAAUCGCUACCAUUGUGGUACCUGAAAAAAAAAAAAAGAGACUCCUUCCCUUAAUAUUGAAAUUUAUCUGAAGCUAUGCAGUAAAUAAAUGCCCCAUUUUGUGCGUCAUAAUGGGGGAUCACAUUCAGAAUCUUCUGCACAUGCAAAUUAAAAUCAAAAUCAAGCCAUUGGCCUAUCACAUUACCAUUUUUGGCCCUUUUGUUUUGUUGUUUUUUUCUUUUUUUGGCGUGUAUAUAAAAAGCAACCACAUUAUCCAACUUUUAUUGAAAACACCAUAUUAUCAGAUACAAAAACGCCACAUCAUUAUUAUUGAAAAUUAAAUUCCCAUAUAUAGAAAGCCACAUAAAAUUCAGUGCCAAUCACAAACAUUCGUUGAUAUUCACUAGGAUAGAGAUAGAGUGCCCAUAUAUGGACAGUGCACCAUACCCGCCGUGAAGUGAUUGGAAGAGUGUGGACUAUGUCAAGCUCCGGACUUAUUUGUAUAGGUAAGGCAACGCUAACCAUUAUUAUUCCCAUGCCACCCUCAAUCAAGCACAGUCAUACACUCGGCACAUGGCACUUCUUGUUUUUAAUUAUUAUCAUAGUGAACAAUGUUUUCAUAAUCGGAUCGAUCAUCGAACCGAAAAAGUUAUCGAUUUACAGUCCAUUAGUCGAACCGACGGUCGAACCAAUAACAUCAUAAAUAUGUAAUUUAUAUAUUAUUAAAAUUAAAAAUAAUUAUACAAAUUUUAAAAUAUAUAUGAAUAAAUUAAAAAUCAAUAAUAUUAUUUUGUAUCUUUAAUAUUAUCAAAUUAAAUCAUAUUAAUAUUUUAAAUUUUAUUGAAUGAAAUAUAUAUAAUAUUUAAAUAUGAAUAUAUUAAAAAUGAAAAUUUAAUUAAACUAAUUUUAUAAUUUUUAAAAAUAUUAUAUUAUUUUUAUUUAAUAUUAUAAAAAAAUUUAAAAUCCAAUAUAUAUUAUUUUGUUUGGCAUAUUAAAUAAUAAAAGAUGUAUAGCCGAGUGGUCCUAGGUUGGUUAUAGACCUUGAGGUCCAAGUUCAAAUCCUUUGGUGGAUUUGUUAAUUUUUUUUUUCAUUGAUUAGGUUAGUUAGCAAUCCCACACUAAGAGGAAUAAGGAUGCUUAUAAAAGCUAGCCUCAUUAUGGGCAAAGGCAUCACCUCAUCUGGUGGGCUUAAGACUCAGCCCAUAAAAUGGUUGGGUGCGGUGUGGGCUUUGUCACAUUAAGACAGGGCCCAUCAUGGGCUUUUGCUAAAUUUUUUUAUACAAGGGAGCCUUCCAUGCUUGCAAAAUGGUGGGAUAACUUGAACCGAUCGAUUCGCUCAAAACCGUCUGAUUUCGUUGGGUUAUCGAUUCAAUCAUCGAUUUAGGUGAUUUGUGACCGGUCCAAUGCUUAGACGGUUUAAUAAAGUAAAUCUAAUAAAAAAUGUGAUGGAUCGACGAUUGAACCAGUUGGAUCAGUCGGUCCCACCCGAUUUUUAAAACAUUAGAUAAUAACAAAUUAAAAGAAGGGUGUCUCCUCAUAUGAGUUUUUUUGAAGUUCUCUACUCUUGGAGUGACUGAAAGGAUAACUGCAGCCUGGUGAGAUGGACUUUGGAAUAUGAGAAGUCAAAUCAGAGGCUCCUUCCUCCAGAUGCUUACCUCAGCCUUGUAAGCAUGAGUAAAGAUAUGGAUGGUUUACCUUCUCAAGGCAUAAACCGCAUAACAGCAAGGCCUAUAUCCUUGACUUGGUCUGAAAGCAUCCUAGCUUGGGUCCUUCUGGGAAUGGGAUUGCCACACGUAUGACCUCUGUAUCAUCAGUUUUGGGGCAAAAUAGCCAUUUUAUGUAUAAAAAAAAAUAAGCUUUAGCCCUUUACAAAACUUAUGUUUAAACUAGCUCACAUAGAGUCAUGUCAUCAUUUUUCUUUUAAACUCAAUUAGACUUUAUUUUUUAACUGAAACUUCAAUUACCAAUUGAGAAUUCAUUUUUUAACUAAAACUUCAAUUUACAAUUGAGGUUUUAGUUAACUUUGUUUUAAAUUUAAAUAAAAAAUUAAAUUAUAAAUUAUUAUUGAAAUUUAAAAAAUAUAUUUUAAUAAUAAUAAUUUAUAUAUUUAAACUUAAAUAUCUAAUAUUACUUCAAUAAAGAUAAAUUGACAAAUAUAAUAAUAAAUAAAUAUUUUAUUUAUCAAUAAAUUAAUAAUUUUAAAAUAAUAAAGUUAUAUGAAAUCUAAAUAAGAUAUAAAAUUAUAUAAUUUGUUAAUUUAAGAUAUUUAAUUUUUUGUAUUUUUAAGAUAUUAAUUUAUUUGUAUUUUGACAAAUUUAUCUUUAUUAAAAUAAUAAUAUAUUCUUAAGUUUCAUAUAUAGAUUUUUUUAUUAUUUUAAAGCAUAUAUUUAUAGUUUACGUAAAAAAAUACUAUUAUUUGUACAUACAAUAUAUAUGCCUUGAAGAUACAUUUUGAAAUUAGUUAAUAAAAUUAAUUAGAAAAAAGUCUACUAUAAAAUUUAAUUUUUAAUAGUUUCAUCAAAGUCACAAAAAAUACUCAUUAAAUAUUUAUAUUAUGGAAAAAAAAUGCCCCUCCCUAAUAUUACAUGUGAUAUAACUUAAAUUAAUAAAUUGUAUAAUUUUAUAUUUUAUUUAUAUGUCAUAUAAUUUUAUUAUUUUAAGAUUAUUAAUUAAUUGAUAAAUAAAAUAUUUAUUUAUUAUAUUUAUCAAAUUAUCUUUAUUGAAGCAAUAUUAGAUCUUUAAGUUUAAAUAUAAAAUUUUUUAUUAUUAAAGUAUAAUUUUUUAAUUUCAAUAAUAAUUUAAAAUUUAAUAUUUUUAAUUAAAUUUUAAAGUAAAAAAAUAAAAUAACUGAAGUUUCAAUUGACAUAUCUUAUUUAGAUUUCAUAUAAUAUUAUUAUUUUAAGAUUAUUAAUUUAUUUAUAAAUAAAAUAUUUGUUUGUUAUUAUAUUUAUUAAUUUAUUUUUAUUGAAGUAAUAUUAGAUCUUUAAGUUUAAAUAUAUAAAUUAUUAUUAUUAAAAUAUAUAUUUUUUAUUUCAAUAAUAAUUUAUAAUUUAUUUUUUAAUUAAAUUUUAAAAUAAAAUAAAAAUUUUAACUAAAACCUCAAUUGUCAAUUGAGGCUUUAGUUAAAAAAUAAGUUUCGAUUGACAAAUGAUACUUCAAUUAAAAAAUGAAGUCUUAGUUGGUAAUUGAGACUUCAACUUAAAUUUUAAAAAAAAAAAAUUAUGACAUAACUCCUAUAUGUGAUAAUAAAGGAACUAGUUUAAACAUAAGUUUUAUAAAAGGGUUAAAACUUAUAUUUUUUUCUACAUAAAAAACUAUUUUGCCCUAAAACUCCCGUAUCGUCGACUAGCUACUGCUUUACUCCAUGUAACAUCUUGUCUACUUAAUUAUAUGAACUUCCUGAAUUAAUGCUGGAAUGACAAACCAAGUUUUAUUGAAAAUGGAAACCUUCUUAGAAUCAAACAUUUGCUCGAACAAAUUUCGCAAUAAAAAGAGGAGAGUUGUGAAAAGAAGCAUUUUUCCUGCAGCCAAUUACCUUUUCAUACAUUACUUUAAAACAAAUUAACAAAUAGUGAUCUCAUAUUUUACCUUUUCUGUUGCAGAUUACUUUUAAAAAUAUUCUCUCCACAGGCACUCCUACGGAAUCUUUCUCCAAAUCAAACUGUACAUUUUACUCAAAUUUUAAUAUCUAAUUAUAAAUAAUUAUGGGUGAGAUUGCAAUCCUUUGCUUAGCUCUUUGAAAAUCUAUGAUGAUACUCGGUAUUAAUAUUUUAUUUUAUUAAAGAUAAAAAUAUCAAAAUAAUUUUAGAACUUUUUAGUGGGGAUAAUACUUCCCCAUUAGGCUGCUUACAAGGCAUAAAUUAAUAUUUUUUUAAUUUUAAUAAAAGCAAUUUGGUACAGUUGACUUGAUUGAUAACUAUUUAAGAUAGGAUUUAGACUAAUUUAGAUUAAUUAGAUUGCAUUUACAGUUCCGUUACCUCGAAACAAAGUUGGUGCAACAUUAACCAUGAUUAUGGUGAUAUAUUUUAGUUUUAUAUUUUUUAAGGGGAUAAUUUUUUUUUUUAAUGGUUUGAUGUUAGCUUAUAAGAAAAACCUAAACCAUAAAAGCCGAAUCUUUCCAAUAUUGAUCCAAUUUCUAUCAUUAAAAAUAUAUGAAUAAAACUUUUGAUCCUUAAAUAAAAGUAUACAAACUAUCGUACAAAAUAAUGGAAUCAAAUAUACAAAAUAAGAUUAAGGAAAUGUUUGAUAAAACUUAAUAUUUAUUAUUUAAUAAUUUAAAUUAACUCUAAGUUAAAUUAUAUUUAAGUUGUUGACUUAAAACUUAUUAUUUAAUUUUUAUUUUAAGUAUUAAGGUUAUUUAAAAAAAUUAACUUACAAUUUAUAUUAAAUCAUCAAAUUAAAAUAUUUAUCUUAAUAAAUUAUAACUAAGACAAAUAAGGUUAAAUAACAAUGGAGGUUGUGAAGUCAUAAAAGAGAUCAUAAAUGUAAUUGAGAGAAAAAAAGACAAAAAUAUAAAAUGAAGAUACUGACUUAAAAAUAAAUAAAUUUUUUUAUUUAUUAAGUCUUUUAUUUUAAGUCAUACAAUAAAAUUAUUUUAUCAAACAUAUUUAAUUUAUUUAAUAAUAUAAUUAAAAUAUUAAGUCACUUAAAGUUAUUAAAUUGGUUUACCAAACACGUACUAACGUACAAAUAAAUAAGACUAAAAUAGAAAACAAUGAAACUUAAACACAUAUAUGACAUGGUCUAUUUAAUUGUAUUUUUUUAUAAAUGCCUCUUUAAUACUUCCCAAAUCAUAACAUUAAAUUUCUUAAAUUGAUAUAAAACAUUUUUUUUUUUCUANNNNNNNNNNNNNNNNNNNNNNNNNNNNNNNNNNNNNNNNNNNNNNNNNNNNNNNNNNNNNNNNNNNNNNNNNNNNNNNNNNNNNNNNNNNNNNNNNNNNACAUAUAUGACAUGGUCUAUUUAAUUGUAUUUUUUAUAAAUGCUCUUUAAUACUUCCAAAUCAUAACAUUAAAUUUCUUAAAAUUGAAUUAUAAACAUUUUUUUUUUCUAUGAUUGAAUCAUUUAGCACUCCAAGUUUUACUAUUGGACGAAAUGUUAAGGAUCUAAUAAAUGGGUAACAUUAAUUUGCUGAAAUAGUUUUUCUUAUUACUUAUAAUGGUUUUAAGAAUGUUGAAAAAAAAAUUCAUGGGAAAACAUUUAUCAAACUCAAAUUUUGAUUCCUAUUUACUUUAUCUUUCCUUGUCAUGUCUCUUUCUAAUUUUCCUUUUUUAGCGGUUUGUUUAUUAGAACAGUAUAUCAUGCCUGUGAUUCUCUUUCUAUCACUUCUUUUCAAUUGAUUUGUUUAAUGCAAUAAUAUUUGUUUAAUGCAAUAAUAUAUCAUGUUAGACAAAAUAACACCUACCUACUACCCAAAUCCCCAAUGUGACAAUGAACUCUAUCUUUAAGCAUUAUUAUAAAAUUAAACGUAAAGGAUAUUAUAAGUUUCUUCCAUUCCACGUGCCUUUCCCAUAUAUUGAAAGGUGGAGGUUAUCAUUUUUAAAAGAUCAAUAAUUGUAAUGAAUUUUCCAUUCCACGUGCCUUUCCCAUAGAUUGAAAGGUGGAGGUGAUCAUUUUUAAAAGAUCAAUAAUUUUAAUGAAUUUCAUAUAUUUGCAUAUUUUUUAAGAGGGAAUUCAAAUUAACUCAUCUUAUUUCUCAAUGUUACGUAACUCCUGCCUCAAAUUAAAAUCAUCAUAUCAUUAUGAACAACUUUGAUACAACUAUUCAAUUUUUAAUAUGAAUUCUUUCAUUCUCAAAUCAUUGUUCAAGUUAGCUUUAUUAACUUAAAAAAACUCAUUCUUUGUCACUACUCCCUCUAUGAUUAUUAAAUGAUAAAAUUGUCAUUGUCUUAAAAACUAAUUUUGAUAAUAUAUUCAUCAACAUAUUUACAAAUUUAAAUUAAUACAAGUUGUAAGAAAUGUAUCAUAAAGAAGAUACAAAACUAGAAGUAGAUGAUAAUUAAUUAUUUUUUUUCUUUAUUGAACUUUGACACCCCAUCCAAAUGCAUUAACGAGAAAAAUAGUGUUUUAUGCUUGUUUUCAAUUAAUCUUGUCAAUAUGUACAUGAAAAACAAUGAUUUAUGCUUAUAAAUCUUAUCAAUUCGCUUAUUUGUAUAUGUAAAAUGAAAUUAUUGAAACUACACGUAGAAUUGCAUGAGGAAAAAAAUACAACUACUGCAUUUAUAAAUGAAUAAAAGCUUGGCUUAAAAUUCAAAAUUCUCAAAACUAUGUUUUCCACACCAAAAUAUUUCAUCCAGCCAACCAAACACCGAUUGAAUCCUCCCUCUAAAGCAUAUUGCCCAAGAUUACAGGCAACGUAGUAAUUACCUAGGCAAGUACGUCAGAAUUAUAGCUUCUUUUUUUUUUUUGUUUUUUUUCAGUUCAUUGACUCGGCUCCACCCAACCACUAUCAGUAUCAGUUACUACCAGAGAGGGUACUGGGUACUGGUUACUGGGCAGGAGCUUUUCCAAAUUCACAACCCGUCUUCUUUAUAUAAGGGCAAGUUUAUGUAUUUCCUCUCGCCAUUGCCUUUUGUUCGAAUCAUUUGAAGUUGAUUUUAUUAAUCCAUCAGAAAAACAUGGCUCUAACUGGUAAAUUGGAGAUUGAAACAGAGAUCAAAGCACCUGCUGAUAAGUUCUUUAAAAUCUUCAGGAGCCAAGCACACCACCUUCCUAAUAUCUGCUCCGAUAAAAUACACAAAAUCGAGGUACAUGAAGGUGACUGGGAGACUCAGGGCUCUGUCAAGCAUUGGAGUUACACCAUUGGUAGGAUAUGCAACUCGAACUCAGAACCCCAAAACACUAGCUAGCAUUAUAUUCCGUUAAAAUGUUUUUUGAUUUUUUUUCCCCAUUUCAUUGUUGUUUUCUUCACAUUUUUUUAUUCUUUUAGAAUAAAUGCAUGGCUCUUUGUACAAUUUUUCUUUUUUUCUUGCAAAGAAGUGGUCAAGUCUGGGCCGCCAGUGACUAUGAUCGAUGGUUCUUAGUAAUGUAUAUGGCAUCUAAUAUUAGCUUCAACAUAUUCCAAUUACUAGGAGGGAAUUCUAAGAGCAUUAAGGAGAGUGUGGAAUCAAUAGAUGAAGAGAACAGGUCCAUUACGUUCAAGGUUUCGGAUGGAGAGGUGCUGAACGACUACAAGAGCUACAAGUUCACCACACAAGCAAUACCAAAGGGAGAGGGCUGCUUGGUGAAAUGGACCAUUGAAUAUGAGAAGGCAAGUGAGGAUGGGCCAGAUCCCCAUGACUACCUGGAGUUUGCAGUUACUGUCACCAAAGAUAUCGAAAGUCACCUUCUCAAUGCAUAACACCAAGUCCAUACAUACCGUCUGCUAGUAUCUCUAUUAAAUAAAGUUUGGAACUUGGAAGGGCAUCUACGAUCUCUAUCCUUCAAUAUAUGCGAAGGCUUAGGGGAACUUUUAGCAGCUGUGGCUUGGUGAUUAAUGCUGAGAAGAUAAACUAGGUUUCCCUUAAUUAUUUGUGUAAUAAUGUUAGUGCAUGCGUGUAAUCGGUUGUAUGCUUGUCUGGACUCUAGGGGUUGCUUUGUGAUUGUUAAUUGGUGUCUUUUGUAAUGGGAUUACUACAUGUUAUGUGAAGACUAUAUGAUGUAUAAGGAAAUAAAGUGAAAAUUACCAGGGGCUAACUCCAUCAUGAGGAGCCUCUGAGUAUGUCCACAAGUCUACAUUCUUGCAUUCUAGUCACAUGUGUCAAAAUCAGACCCUAACAAAUUACAGUCUUGAUCAUUGAAGGGGUAAAAUCCCACUUUACAUAUAAUCUAAAUAAUUUAGCUAAAAUCUAAUAAGAAUAUCUCUCUCUACAGGUAUGUAACCUUCCAACCUUGAAUUUAAGGAUAUUUAUAUAAUUUAAAAUUAUAAAAAGAAAAUUUUGGAUAUAGGACAAAUUAAUUUUUUUUUUAAAAAAUAACGAAAGUGAAUGAAAUAUUUUUGGUUCCUAUGACCACCCACUUUUUUUACUUUUUAUUUUUAUCUCAUUUUAGUUUCUCCACGUUAUAAAAAAAUGAAAAGAUAAAAUAGAGAGGAAAAAAGACAACUUGGAUUUGUAGAAGUUUCUUUCUUUCAUGGUGUUUUUCUGUUCUGUUUUUGCCUUUGUUUCAUUCUAAAAGUCACUCACUAUCUUUAUCUCAUUUGGGUUUCCCCGCGUUAUCAAAAAAUGAAAAUAUAAAACAAAGAGGAAAAAAAAACCUAUACAAAGGUCUUUGGAAUUUUGAUUCAAAGACUUAAGAAAAGAAUAAUAAAUUUUUGCAUUUGUUCCGUUCUAAAAUUCAAGGUAAGUUUUUCACAUAUAAUUUUUUUUUAGGAAUUCUAUUAUCUAUUAAUUAUGAGAAUAGUAAAUAUAUAUAAUAAUAAUAAUAAUAAUAAUCAUCAUCAUCAUCAUCAUCAUCGUCAUCAUCAUUAUCAUUUUAAAACUAGUUAUUAGUGAUCCUAAUCAAUCGAGAACAAGUUGAUUUUCAUUACCCUUGGUAAUGGUAGUGAUAAAAUAUAUUUUUAGUUAAUAAGGGUGUAAUUAGCUUUGGGGUUUCAUUGAUUAGAAAUUAUUUCAUCUACUAGUAAAAAAAACAAAGUAAAACUAACCAUCAAGUGCAAAUCAUGAAUUUUUUUAAAUAUGAAUUGAGUAUACAAAGUAUAUUAUUUAAUUAUAUAUUUAAAUUGAAAGAGAUUAAUUUUUCAAAAAUAGUGAAUUUAAUCAUUGAAUCAAAUCAACUUACCUGUUAUAAAGAUGUGAUAUGUUCCAAAAUUUAGUUGUAUACAAUACGUGACCCUUCUUAUUAAACUAUCCUUUAUCAUUGAGCUAUCUAACUUACCUUUCUCAAUUAUUAUCCUUUAAGGUACAUCAAAUAUUGGUAUAAAUGAGAAGAGAUCGAGAUAUGAAAAGUAUUUCAAAUAGAAACAUCUUUAGAAUAGAUUUAUUUUUUAGGAUUGUUUACUUAGAUCAAGUUUAUUUUAAUUUCUAAAAUGUUUUUUUAAGUGUUUGAGAGAAUUAAAGUUAUUAUUUAGAUAUUUUAAUUAGUUUUGGAUUUGUUUGUUAAGGUCAUUCAUACAAAGAUGAUAUCCAUUUCUGUGUUAUAUUUUAUUUUAUUUAUUUAUUUCUUAUUUCAUGUAUUAAGUUUGAUAAAACUGAAGGUGAAAUCAACAUUGAAUUGCUAAAAAUGUCAAUUACUAUUGUUAAUUUAUCACAAUUAUGAUUUUUUAAUUGUAGCACAUAGUAAAAUUAUUAUUAUUAUUAUUAUUAAUAUUUAUACUCUGGUCGAACUUAUCCAUGGCCAAUCCAUCAUGUAGGCCAAUUUUGUCAAACUUAUCCAUGGCCCAUCCAUCAUGUAGGCCAAAUUUUUAUUAGCAUUUUUGGGUCAUAACUCUAGAUGCUGACAUUAAAGCAUUUCUGGCAUAAUAAUUAUUGGAAAAGGAUGUCUCCUCUUUCAUGGAUCACAACCAAUACAGCAAAGAUGAUGAUAGAUAGCAUCCUUAUCACCUCAUGUGUCUUGACCUCUUCUUCAAGCUUGAGUGUCUUGUCCUAUAUUUAACGCAUGUACCAUUGCCUCCAAGAUAUGGUGACAGGAAUUAUAUAGCUACUGACUAGCUAGUCUUCACUCCAAAAAUAUGAUGGCCACUUUUUUGAAAUAUAACUCUUUAUCCUAUUGACUUAAACUCACCACCUCUUUCAGAUCCUCCACAAGGAUCAACUUAUUAAGAGUUUGGUCGAAGUUUGAUCCACUUUUCUAAAUGAGCAAUGUUAAAUUAUUUUAUUCAAACAAAUUUGAUGAUCAAAUAUCUCUUAUUUUCUCAAAUUUAAAUAACAUUCCUUUAUAAAAAUAAUUAUAAAAUUUAUUAUAAUCACUCAUUUUCAAUGGCUCAUUAGUAGAUGUUCAUUGUAUUAAAAUACAUUUAUAUGAUUAAGAAAAACUUAUACAUUUCUAUUUUUUUUUUCUAUGCAUAAUUUAUAAUAUCUCAUAUAGGAUUUAUUGGGUUUAGAAACAUGUAAUAUUUAUAUAAUAGUGAGUGAAUUAUUAUAAAUGGUAUGAAAAUUGAUUUUCAACCCUUUAUGAGAAUUUAUUUAAUACUACAAUAUAUGACUCUAUGUUUGAUUAUGUAAUCCUAUAAGACACGAUGUCCAUUAAGUUCAUUAUAUUAUUUUUAAUUAUGUAAAAAUAUUUUAAAAUUAAAAAAAUUCAUUAAACUUAGUGCAGACGCUAUCUAUAUAAAAGGAAAUAAAUGGUUAUACUUCAUCAUAUUCGUUUCUCAUAUUUGAUAUAUAUCAAUUUCAGCGACUAUUAUUCAACAUUGCCCGAAGCAAUAGGUGCCUCACUUUUACAAAGAAAACUUCCUCUAUUGAUAUUUCUCAAAUAUAAAUUCAUGUCAUGGACUCAUGGUUAACAACCGAUAGAUCCUAAAACAAUUAGAUAUCUCAGAUAUUGAUUGACCAAAUGGACAACCGAUGCUAUAGUAAGAGCUGUUGCUGUUAUCUUUUAAUUUAAAUAUACACAAACGACAAAAUGCUUAACUAAUCCACCACCCAGGCGCCGGGCCACAGAAAUGAAAUACCGCCUACCCCAACAUUUUGGAAUUAAAAAUCUACACCACCCAGAUCUUGCUGUGAUUUGGUAAAUCCCGAGAAAUUGACAACCUUCCUACGCUGGGGAGGCGUGGUUCCAUUCAAUGCCAACAUUUUCGGAUGGGUCCAGAGAGUUGUACAGUGACUUUUAAAUAAAGAAUUGUUUUAAACCUUGACUUUGGGCUCUUUAUCAGGAAUAUGAAAAUAUUGGGCAAUGACUAGAUUCGAGAGCAGGUUGCAUGCAUAGAUAUCGCAUUAAUUUUUAGCAAUCGUUAUGACGAAAGAAAAUCUGCAGAACCAAGCGAAUUUUCCUAGUCAUCAUGAGAGACAUUAGACAAGGUUUUCAAUUCAUAAAAUUGCCUUAUCAUCUGGAAUUAAAUAUUUUCAAGCUAAGGAUGAGGUUCAAUCCGUACGGGGCAAUGAAAAUAUAUGGAUGCCCUAUAGAGUGGUUGAACAUUCUACAGUUUCGUCCCUAUUUAUAGAAGAAGAUGAAAUUUUAAGCAAUUUGCUUCAAUGCAAUUUUAGCAUAUUUCAGCUAGUCAUAGCAACGUCUAAUUUCGUUGAUGUAGAAGAAGCUAACACCAAAGAUUCAUCUAGGUAGAAAGAAGUAUCGAGCAUGUAACUAACCGCAGAACUCACAUCUAGGGACCCUAUUGUAAAUAUAACAGGUGAUGGACAUAAAGAUAGAUAUGAGUAAAAGAGUGGAACAUAAAAUCCAAAUUUCAAAAGUAUGAUAGUUUUUUAGUGUUUCUUUGAAUCUCGUAGGAAUUUAGGUCAUUUUCAAUCUCAUCCAUGAGACAAGGUACAAUAAUUGUUGAAGAAUAAGAGUAUUGUUGGGCAGUUCGGCGAGCUAUAUAUAAAGAGAGAGACUUCUUAACCAUAUAAAUAUUAUCCUCUAUAACUCUAAAUUUUUUUUUCCUUUAUCCAAUAUAAAAUAUCACAAUCACUUUUAUGUAUGCACUCUUUUUAAUCACGUCGCAUAAAAUUACACCAUUUUCAAAGCUAAAUAAACUCCUAUAUAGGGGUCAUAUAUUGACUUCAAUACUCUUUGAAACGACUCACACUUAAUCAUAUAAACUCAUUAUAAUAAUGUAUUUCCUAAUUUCAUGGAAUUUCAAUAAAAUAUUUAUUACUUUCAAAUGGGAAUUAGAGAGGAAUGUUGUCUAGCUAACUCAUAAUUCUUCUUUAUAAGUUCAAAUUAGGUAUUUACUUCUUCCUACCAUUACCUCAUAUUUUGAUUGUUUCUUCGUUAAUAUAUAGUUGGUUAAACUAAUAAACUAGAGGUUAGGAUGGAGAUCAAUUUAGAUUAUGUUUGUUUUGAGUUUAAUAAACCCUUACGACUUUAAAAUGUGUUUAGAUAGUUAAGAGAAACUUAUACAUAUAUAAUAUUAAAAAAAUUUCCUCAUUUAAUGUGAGAUAUUAUAAUCAUCACUCAUGUAGACAUAAUAUAUUUGUUGUAAGUCAGAAGAUUGUAAAACCAAACAAAUUUUUUCAUUGAAAUAUAAUAUUAUUUGUAAUGGUUCACUUUCUCUCAUGGAUCCCAACUCCAUUAGGUUCUUCAUGAAGCUUGUUUCAGUUUAUUAACCACCGAUGUAGCAAAGAUGAUGAUAAGUAGUAUUUUUGUUUCUCAUAUGUUUUCAGACCUCAUCAAGCUUGAGUGCCUUAUCCCAUCUCUAACGCAUGUACCAUUGCCUCCAAAAUAUGUUGCCAGAUUAUACAUAAUAUCAUAAUUAUAGCUACUGAAGUCCAACGACUACCUAGCUAGUCUUCACUCCCAAAAACAUGAUGGUCACUUCUUUGAAAUAUAACUCUUAUCCUAGUGACUCAAACUCACCACCUCAUUGACAUCCGUCAUAAGAAUUUCAGAGACUCUUCAAAGUUUGAUCCACUUUUAUAGAUGAAUAAUGUAAAAUUCUUUUAUUCAAACAAAUUUGAUGAUCAAAUAUCUUUUCUUUCCUAAAAAUUAUAUUUCCUUUUUAUAAAUCUUAUUUUAAUGACCCAAUUACAGUAUGGUAGAUAUUGUUUGUUUCGAGUCCAAUAAACCCUUAUAACUUUAAAAUAUGAUUAAAUAGUUAAGAGAAACUUAUAAAUAUAUAAAUGUGAGGUCAAAUAAAUUUUCAUAUUGAGAUAAAAGAUUAACUUUAAUACUAUUUGUAAUGGUUUACUUUCUUUCAUGUAAACAUCAUCCACUUUAUACUCAAUGAAUCAUUGAAGCUUUAAAACAUAUUUACAUGAUUAAAAGAAACUCGUACAUAUAGUAUUAGAAUUUUUUUUUUCUGACCCAUGAUUUGCAAUAUAUGUAUAAAUACGUUUUAAAGUUAUGAGGAUUUAUUAAGUUCAGAGUAAAUAGUAUUUAUAUUAAAUGGAAUGACAUGUCACAUGCAAAUAAUAUCAAACUCAAUCUCCAAUUUUUAUAUAAGAGUUUGUUUGAUUUUAUAAAAAAUGUUUGUGUGUUUCAUUCUACAAUUCUGUGAGACACAACAUCCAUUUAAUUUAUUAAAGUCUUUUUAACUAUGUAAACAUGUUUUAAGUUGUUAAGAUUGAUUGGGUAAAAACAGAAGAGGUGAUUGUGUGUUUUAUCCUACAAUUCAAUGAGGCAAUGCCUAAUUGAUUCAUUGGGGUACUUUUAAUCGUUAAUGCAUGUUUCAAUGUUGCUAAGAUUGAUUGAGUGAGGAAAAUAUCUACAUAUGAAAGGCAACAGUUAGUUACACUUCAUUAUGUUUUUUUCUAAUAUAUUGAUAUAUGUCAAUUUCAGUAGUUAUUAAUUCAACAUCGCCCAAAGUAACCAAUGCCUCGCUUUUCCAAACAAAACUUUCUCUAUUGAUAUUUCUUAAAUAUAAAAUCAUGUCAUGGUAAGCAUCCGAUGGAUACUAAGACAAUUGGAUAGAUAUCUCAGAUAUUGAAUGGACCAAAUGGGGUAACGGAUGUGGUAGUAUACAAGCGCUGUAUAUCUUUUAAUUUAGAUAUACACACACAACGUAAUGCCUAAUCCAUCCAGCCGGGGGGCCGGCCAGAGAGAUAUAAAAUACCCCCAAUCCCAUCAUUUUGUAUUUUGUAUUGGAAUUAAAAAUCCAAACCCAGAUAUUGCUAUGAUUUGGUAAAUCCCGAGAAAUUGAGAACCCAUCCUGGGGGAGGCAUGGUCCCCCUAUUCAAUGCCAACCCUAUUUUCAAAUGGUGUCUAAAGAGUUGUACAGUUAACGGUGACUUUAAAAUAAAGAAUUGCCUUAAACCUUGAUUUUAGGCCCUUCUUCAAGAAUAUGAAAAUGCAUGUUGGGCAAUGAUUUAGAUUCGAAAGUGGGUUCUGCAGACAUCACAUUUCUGCAGAGCCGAAAAUAUUUACAAGCGUAGGACGAAGCUCAGUUCAGAUGGGCCUCGAAGAUGAAUUUUUAAGCAAUUUGCUUGAUACAUUCAGCAAUUGAUAAUUUAAAAUAAAAAAAAUUAGGAAAUAGAAAGUAAAACAUAUAUGGUUAAAACUUCAAUGCAAUUUUAGCAUAUUUGAACUAGUCAUAGGAGCGUUUAAUUUCUUUGAUGAAGAAGCUGAACACCAAAGAUUCAUCCAGGUAGAAAAAUGUAUUGACCAUCUAAUUGUCUGCAGAACCUACAUCUAAGUACCCCGCUAUAAAUAUAAGAGGCAACUUAGGUGAGGGACAUAUAGACACAUACGAAUGCCAUUGUAGAAUAUAAAAUCCAAAUUUCUCAAAACUAUAAGGUUAUGUUUGAAUCCAAAAAAAUAUUAGAGGAAGUGAAAAUGUUAAGAAAAAUAAUUUUUUAUGAUUAAUUUUAUUAUAAAAAAUAUAAAAAAUAAAUAUAAUUAAAAUUAGUUAGAAUUUUACAUAUUUUUAAAUUAUAUAAUUUGAAUUUAAAUAAAUAUAUAAAAAUAAGUCAUUAAUUUUAGAUCUAUUUCUUUUUUCUUUUUUUAUAUUCUCCCACAAAAUUUCAGUAACCGAACACAACCUAAUAGUUUCCACUGUUUCUUUGAAUUUCUCAACUUCAAAAUCUCUUGUCUAUGAGACCUCAGAGUAAUUAAUUCCUACCUCUUGGUGACUAGGCCAAGCGCAUGGAUAGGCACAUUGACCCACUUGUAAUUGCCUAGGCUAAUAGGCCAAGCUCAUAGCAAUUUUCCUUUUUUAUUUUUUAAUUUCGUCGUAGGACUUGGUCUCCACAAGGCACUAUAACGUAUCCCCUAAUUUCAUUUCAUGGAACUUUAAUAAAAUAUCUAUUGCUUUCAAGUGGGAACUGGAGAGCAACGUUGCCUAGCUAACUCACAAUCCUUCUAUAUAAGUUCAAGCUAGGUAUCUUCUUCCUUCCACCACUGCCCACUGCCUUGUAUUAGGAUAUCGUUUCUUAGUUAAUAUAUAGUUGAUUAAUUUCCAUCUCCAACUACUACUAUUAUUAGAAAAAUAUGGCUCUAACUGGCAAGCUAGAGGUUGAAAUGGAGAUCAAUUCACCUGCGGAUAAAUUCUAUAACAUCUUCAGGAGGCAAGCACACCACAUUCCUAAUAUCUGCUCAGAUAAAGUACACCAAAUUGAUGUACAUGAAGGUGACUGGGAGACUCCAGGCUCCGUCAAGAACUGGGGUUAUACUCUUGGUAAGGCAACCACAACUCAAACCCCAAAACCCUAGCACUAUUAGUCUGUAAAAAAAAAUGAUUUUUUUAGUUUUUCUAUUUCAUUUAAUUGUUUUUUUGUUUGGCAUUUUCCCCUUUAGAAUAUUAAUUUAACUGCAUUAAUUCGGAGUUGAUCCCAUCAUGUGGAAGUUUAUGCUUCUGUUAUGAAUACAGCUUUGUAUGCCUUCCUUAUGUUUAAUUCAACCUAAAGCAUGUAGAAUUGAUGGUCAAAGUCUAUGGGACCCUUUUUUCAUGACCGCCAUGCAUGGGGCUUUCCCAGGUGACUGCCCGCUACUAAAGGGGCCUAAAGUUUAGGUCCCCCGAGUUAGAACUUAGAAGAGGGAUUAUGAAUGAUCAGUGAAGUUGUAAGGUUUUGAUCUUCUUAGAUAUUACCUAGAAAGAGGAUUGACUUUACUUGACUUUUACCAUAUUGAUUUAGAGAUUGGCGAUUGCUUUAAAAGGUUGUGUCAACAGAAGAAAACUUAAAAAAUAUUAAGAAAAAUAAAAAAAAUGAUUUUGUUUUUAUAAAAAAAAUCAAAUAUAAUAAAAACGAGUUGAAAUUUUAUUUAUUUUUAAAUUAACUUUUAUAUAGAAGAAUUAAAAUACGUUAAGUAAAUUUGAAUCAAAAUAUAAAAAUAAUUAAUUUCUUAAUUUUAAAUUUAUUAUUUUUCUUUUAACUUCUUUUUUGUUUUUUCAUUUUCUUUUCUUUUGUAUUUUCUUCAAAUUUUUUUAGAACCAAAUAUAGUCAUUAUGAAAAGAUGGGCCACGAAGUGACUACGCAUGUCAAUUUGCUUGAGAUUUCGCAAUCUAGUAGUUUCAAAAUACUAUGCUUAACCCCUUGUUUUGGUUUGAAAUUACUAGGAGGGACUUCUAUGAGCCUUAAAGAGACUGUGGAAUCAGUAGAUGAUGAAAACAAGUCAAUCACUUUCAAGGUUGUGGAUGGAGAGAUCAUGAACCAUUUCAAGUGCUUCAAGUCCAACUUGCAAGUAAAAGCAAAGGAUGAGGGCAGCUUGGUGAAAUGGAGUCUGGAAUAUGAGAAAGUAAAUAAGGAUGUCCCAAAUCCUGAUGCUUACCUGGAGUUCGCAGUUAAUGUUACUAAAGAUAUUGAAAGCCACUACCUCAAGGCAUGACACCAAGGCCAUGUGGUAUCCUCGGUAGUAUUACUUCAAUAACGCUGGUGUUUGUAAUUUGGUUGAGUUGUAUGCUUUACCAGGAGUGGCCUUGUGAUUGGCUGGUUUCUUUUGUAAAGGCAUUAUCAUAUAUGAUGUAAAUACUGUACCUUAAAUAAAAAGAAAAUCAGCAAAGACCCUCCUUUUUAAUGUGGAUAAUUGCUUUUAAUGUCACCUUUGUUGAUCGGUUUACAAGACAAGAGUUAACAAGUAGUCCCUAUUUAUUAAAUAUAAGAAUUUUCUGUAUCCAUUAAUCAUCAUCAGUAAGCUAAUAAAAUGGCUGAUAUUUUUCUUAAUAAAAACAGCAACAGUUACUGAGUUUAUAUAUAGGACACCAGUUGCAGAUUAGAUUUCUUUGGCUUGAUUGUGAUCUUUCUACAUGUUGGAAAAAUAUUGUCAUUUGGUAUUUAAUAUCAAAUUUUAAAAAUAAUAUUUAAGAUAUGAAGAAAAAAACAUACAAUGAUUCAUAUUUUUAACUUUAAUAUGAUUUAAAGUUCAUCGAGUAACCGUUUUGAAAUCAUUCACCCUUGAUCUUCACUUUCCUAGUCUCCCUUUACACGUUCCUUAGUGGUGAGUAUGAAAAUGAUUCCAUUGAAUUGUAAGAAUGGAAAGAGGGAUAAAAAAUUCUUCUAUUUAUAAGCAUAGAAUGAUUCUUCUUAUCAGUGAACCAUUAACUAAAUACUUUAAACAUAUUAUUAAUUAAUAAUAAUAAUAAUAAUAAUUAUUAUUAGAAAAUAAAUUUCAUAAAUAUUAUAAAUUUAAAAAAGAAUCUAAUUUAAUUCUUAAAAAAUUUAUGCAUGAAAUUUUUAUAUUAUUUUUAAUUGUUUUCUAAGGGUUAUUUUAAGAAAUUAUUAUACAAACAUAUAAAAUAAUUAAAAAUAAAACAAUAGAUAUAAAAAUUAUUUUUAAAAAUAUUAAAAAUAAAUUCAAAAUAUUUUAAGUUGCCAAACAAAUUUUUUAUUCUACAAAAAUCAGAGAUAGUUUUCAAAAUCUCUUUUAAAAAACUAUUUUUCAGAAUUAUUUUAAAAAAUAGUUACCAAACAAGCCCUAAAAGAUUUAUAUAUAUAUAUAUAUAUGAAAUUAAAAAAAUAUCAAAUAAUAAAAAUUCAAACAAUGGUAAGGGUGUCACUAAUGAUCGGUUUGGAUUUAAACUAACAUUUUUUUAUAUUGAGUAAUUUAUUUUUUAUUCUAUAUAUUAGAAAAUUGAAUUUAAAUGUAACUUUUUCAAAUAAAAUAGUUAGAUCACACUUGAUAUAUAGUAAUAAUUUUUUAAAAACUAAUGGUCAUAAUUUAAAAAAAUGAUGAAAAAAAAAUCUCAAAUAUAUUGCAUAUGAAUGUAUAUAUUUAGUUUUAUACAACAUGUUAGACAUAUAUUAGUUAUUAACUUAUUAUAAUCUACUAAAAUAUUAAUUCUAUACGAGGGGAUUAGAUUUCUCAUUGUUGAUUUUAUAACCCUCAUUGUGGGAUUAUAAAAUGUCAUUGCAAUCACUCCCAAUUUAGUCUAUGCAAAUCAAAUAUAGAAAUGCAAUUUAUCUCUGUCACAAUUUGUUACACAAUAAUGAUAAUGGAUAAUAAAUAAAUAAAUAAAUAAAAUUAAAGAACACACAUUUAUGUAUAAAACUUUAGAUGAGAAAAAUCAUGGAUAAGGAAAAUGAAUAUCCAAUAUAUCAAAAGAUUGGUAUAAAAGAUGAGAAAUAUAAACAACUAUGAUAAAAAUAUAAUCAUCAUAACCUUAAAAUUAUGUGAAAGUAAUUAACAAAGUAGGUCCAUACAUAAGGACAAAGAGCCCCCUCAAAGGUAUCAAUGGUGGGGGUGUGGGGUGUGGGAUCGGAUCAAAUUCCAACGUUAUCAAUGGUAGGCUAGGGGAUCGGAUCAAAUAGAAUUUGGAUCGCCAAACCUUAAUACAUUUUAUGCUUUUUCUUAUUGGUUUAGAUUUAUGAUAAUCUCCUCCACCAGCAAAAUAAAGUUAUACCGGAGGAUUUUCUUUGUUUUGGCUGUCACACUUUCACUUCUUUGCUAAUAGCCUAACAUCAAAUGAGAAAAUAGAGACAUUUUAAAAAUGAGAACAAAUUCUCGAGGAUUUAGUUGUCUGCCACUAGACUAUAAAAAAUGCUUUCCUGUUAUUUUACCCCCUAAAAUAAGUUUGAUACAAUGCAUCUAUUUUCUGGCUCCGACAAUGUUUAAGAAUACAUCAACCGACCUCAAACCACAUUAUUUCGGUUUGAAAAGAAGGCUUUAUUAUGUCAGUAUGGCUGCUAAGAAGACUUUUGGAAUAUAAUAAAACAAGUCCAGCGAGUUGAUGGUUUGGAAUCGAGAGAUCAUGAAUGAUUUCCCUACUUUAGAGUCAAUAAUUAAGUGGAAUGUGAGAAGGUGAAUGAGGAUGGCCCGGGAUCCAAUGCUUACUAAACUAUUGAAGAUCACCUUCCUGAGGCAUAAUUCCAUUACUUUUCAUCGACGCUGCGAUGCUAUAAAAGAAUAUUAUAAAAAUGCAAGGGUAAUGAAAUAUUGUACAGCCUUUACCGUAUUGAAGAACGUGGACUGAUUGCUAGGGUACCCAACACCCACCAUAAUUCCCACACCAACUCCCAACCAACCCGAUCACGUAGGGCCUCACAUGGCCUCAUUAUCAUUUAUGUGGAAAGAUAAUGCUAAACUAUAUACGGGAUGGCCAUUCUACCAGCCAACCUGUAAUGAUUUUGAUAAAAGUAUACUAAAAAUAGAAGGAGAAAUUAAGUUAUCAUUUGAUAACGGUUUUUAAAAAUUGUUUUUAAUAUUUUAUAAAAUAAAAUUUUAUUUAGAAAUACAAAAUAUUUUUAACUUAUUUUUAAUAUUUUAUAUGUAUAUAUAUAUAUAUAAAGAGAGAGCGCUUUAUUUUUAAUUAUUUUUCAUAUUUAUAUAAUUAUUUUUUAAAACAAUUUCAAAAAAACAAGUGAAAAUAACUAAAAAAAUAUUCUUUGAGAUAAAGAUCAAAAAACAUAAAAUAGUUUUUUUUAUUAUCAAACAUGUUUUAUGUUUUCUAAUCUGUGUUUUUUUAAUUUGUUUUUUGUUUUCAAAUCUUAAGAUCACUUAAUUUUUUAGGGUUUUUUUUAAGAAAUAAUUAUAUAAAUAUAUAAAAUAAUUAAAAAUAAAAUAUUAGACAUAAAAAUUAUUUUUAAAACAUAUUUAAAAAUAUUAAAAACAAGUUUAAAAUAUUUUAAGUUAUAAAAUAAGCUUUUUUUUUUUUACAAGAAUCAUAAAAUAAUUUUUAAAAACUAUUUUAAAAUAUUAUUUUUGAAAAUAAUUAUCAAACCCCUUAUUUUCUAUUCUCAAAAAAUGUUUUUUAAUUAUCAAAUGUGGUGUCUAUUUAAAUUUAAGAUUUUAAAUUUUAAAUUUAGUUAUUUCCAAGUUAUGAUCUCUUGAUAUUAUUUCAACCUAUUAUUUAUUUAUUUGUUUGUUUUUCACAUAAAUAAACUAAAAUUCAAUUGUAUAACCCAGUAUGAAUCACGUGGGCCCUUAGUGAGGCUGGCUACAACUAAAUCAACGUUCUUUUGAUAAUCGAUUGCCUAUGAAAGAAAUCAUCACGCCUUACACACAAUAGAAUAAAUUAAUAAGAAAGUAAGAAGAUUAGAAAGAAAAGCAUCUUAGAGGAAGGGUUUUUUUUUUUUUAACUUCUUGGUGGUGACACUGGAUGGGCUUUUGAUAAUUGUACGACGAAUUUAAAAUUAAUGUUUUAAAAUACGGUAUUAAAAAAUAUUUUCAAAUUUAUGGUACUUUUUACCACUUUGAAACAUGUUUCUUAAAAAAGCAUAUUUCAUCGUUUUUAUAUUAAUGAUACACAUUCAAAAAAAAAAAAAUUAAAGGUGUCUUUUUGAAAUAUAUUUUUCAUAAUUUUUAUAUCAAUAACACACAUUAAAAAAUUUUGAAUUUAUAUUAAAAGUGUCUCUUCAAAAAACACAUUUUAUAAUUCCAUAAAAUUAAAUUUAUAUUAAAAGUGUCUUUUAAAGAUAUACUUUUUACAAUUUUCAUAUCAGUUAUAUAGUGAAAAAAUUGAAUUUAUAUUAAACAUAUUUCUUUAAAAGACAUUUUCUACAAUUUCAUAAAAUUAAAUUUAUAUUAAAGGUAUCUCUUUCAAUAAUUUUUGUAUCAAUCAUCCAUUGAAAUAAUUGAAUUUAUACUAAAAAUAUCUUUUUAAAAGACACCAUCCAUAAUUUCAUAAAAUUAAAUUUAUAUUGAAAUGUUUCUCUUUAUACUUUUAAUAUAAAUUUAAUUUUUUUAUAGGUGAUUAAUAUAAAAAUUAUGAAAAGUAUUUAUUUAAAAAAUAUUUAUUAUAAAUUCAAUUUUAUAGAAUUAUAAAGACGUCUUCAACGUAAAUUCAAUUAUUUUUUCAAUGUGUAAUUGAUAUGAACAUUAUGAAAAAUGUCCUUCAAAAGACACUUUUAGUAUAAAUUUGAUUUUAUGGUAUUAUUAAAAGUAUAUUUCUUUAAUAUAAAUUCAAUUUUUUAACAUGUAUAACUAAUGAAAAAUUAUAAAAAAAUUAUAUUUUGAAGAGAUAUCUUUAAUAUAAAUUCAAUUUUUUAACAUGUAUAACUAAUGAAAAAUUAUAAAAAAAAUUAUAUUUUGAAGAGAUAUCUUUAAUAUAAAUUCAAUUUUAUAGAAUUAUAAAAGAUAUCUAUUGAAAAAAUACUUUUAACAUGUAUCAUUGAUAUGAAAAAUAUAGAAAAUAUCUUUUCAAAAAACACUUUUUAAAAUGGUAAAAAGUACCAUAAAUUUAUCAAAAGUUUUAUAACUAUCAUAGAAAUUUUUUUCAAAAGUUCCAUUUUUUAAUAAUUAUUUUUUUAAAUAGCCGUACAAGUUAUAUAAAAAAAAACCCGAUACUCCAUAAAAUGUGAUCAAGUAGGAUUUGCAUCAUGCAACCUCAUACAAAUAAUAAAAAGCAUAAAUCACUUGAAACUUGAAAGUGAUUGGAAUUUGGCAGACUCUAGCUAGCUAGGUUGCCAUAAAUGACAUGGGUCAGUGGCCGACACCCACCAAACCCAGCACUUAAUAAUAUAAUUAAUAUACUAUUAUUAUAGAACCAUCGUUUUCAGGAUAGGGAGCAUCAAAUUAACCUCCCCAAGUCAAACUGCACAAUUUGUUUCAUCGAAAUCGAAUAUCUAAUAAUGAAUGAUUAUGGGUGAGAUUGCAAUCCGCCAAUCCUUUGCCUAGCUCUUUGAAAAUCAAUGAUGAUGCUUAGUAUUAAUAUUUUAUUUAUCUUUUUAAUAUGAAAAUAAAAAUAUCAAAAUAAUUUUAAACUUUUUUCGUGGAGAUAAUGCUCCCCAGUUAAGCUGCUUAUAAGGUAUAAAUUAAUAAUAACCUUUUAAUUUUAAUAAAAGCAAUUUGAUACAUAUCACAUCUUAAUUCACUUGAGUAAUAACUAUUUAAGAUUGGAUUUAGGUUAACUUAGAUUAAUUAGAUUGUAUUCAGGUUAAUUAAACCAUAAUCAUAUUAUUAUCAACAAUUUCUCACAACUAUCCUAUUUUUAAUAUGAAUUAUUCCUAGUUCUCAAAUUAUUGUUUAGGUAGUUUUAUUAUCUUAAAAAACAUCUUUUUUUGUCAUUGGUUCUGCAUGGUUAUUAAAUAAGAAAAUUAUAAUUAUCUUAUCAACUAAUUUGAAGACUUUUCACAAAUUCAUACUUUAAAAACCUCUUUCUUUGUCGUGGGUCCCUACAUGGUUAUUAAAUAAUAAAAUUGUAAUAAUUUUAUCAAUUAAUUUGAAGACUUUUCACAAAUUUAUACAAUACUAGUUAUCGGAAAUGUGUCACAAAGAAGAUGCCAAGCUAAAAGCAAAUCAUGAUUCAUUAUUUUUUUUCCCAAUUGGAGCUCGAUGACCCAAUCCGAAUGCAUUAACAUCAAAAUUAGUGUUUUAUACUAUUUUCAAUGAACCUUGUCAACAUGAUCGUGAAAUGAUUUAUGAUUAUUUUCAAUAAACCUUUCAUCGAAACUAUGUGUAGAACUGCAUGAAUAAAUAAGAAAUUUUCAUAGUUACAGAUUUGCAUUAUCUCACUCUAUAUGAUUUUAUAUAGUUUUUUUUUUAAUACUUCUGCAACAUUUCUUUAGAAAAAAUAUUGUAUCAAUAAAUUCAGUAAUUUUCAUCAAUUUCAAUCUUAUAAUUAAAUGAUACUUCUGUCAUGUAUAUCACCAUACGUGUCACACUUCAUUCAAGAUCAGGUUGAUUAGUCAUGUAUACCUGCUCCAUUAAUAAAGUAUUAAGUUUUUAUUUUAUUUUAUUAAAAUAAUAAAUAAAUAAUAUAAUUUUUUUUUAUUAGAGGUAGUUAGGUAUCAUUAAAUGAUUUGUUGUCCUGCCAUGUCCCCAAUUAAUAAUUUUAUACUUUUCAUUUUUUUCAAAGGAUUUAAAAUAUAAAAUAUUAAAGAUAAAAUAUCUGAAAGUACCGCUUCCAUACCCAAUCAAAUUUUAAAUCUAAAUUAUUGACAUGUGAGUGAAAUUUGGACUAUUAAAUAAAAAGUGAAAAAAAAAUAAAAUAAUAAAUAAUUAAAAAUGUUCCUGCAAGGAGAUGUGACUAAGGUUAAAAAAGGAGGGGAUAAGGAGCGGCUAGGAAUAUGUAAACAAAAUUCAAAUAAUUAAAAAACGAAAUGAUAACUUCUCAAUGAAAUUGAAUGUUUCAGUUCUAAAAUCCAAAACAAAAACUAUAGUGAAAGAAAAAUUUGAGAAAAUAUAGCAUGGUCUUCUCUUUAAUGAUUGAUAAAUAUUUAUAUAUAAAUAAAGUUUAUUUUCCAUUAUAAUUUAGAUUAGUCGAGUCUUGUUUUCUACUCAAAUUCAAACUUCACAUUUUGUUAUAAUUUAAUCUAAUAAUAAUUGUUUUCACAAGACAAGCUGAAGUUAUCCAUUAAAAUACAACUUUUAAUUAAUAGUUUAAAAAAUAAGAUAAAUUUGAAAAUAAUUUUAAAAUUUAAUAAGUAUAUAUAUUUUUAAAUAGCAUUUUUUUUUUUAAAUUGCCAAAUCUAUGCUCAGAAAAGAUCCACAAAAGUUGAUCAACAAAAGAUACCGAACAGGAAGUAGAUGAUAAUCCAUUAUUUUCUUCUUUAUUAAAGUUUGACAACCCAAUCUGAAUUCAUUAACGUGAAAAGCAGUGUUGUAUGCUCAUUUUCAAUGAACCUUGUCAACAUGCACGUCAAAAACAAUGAUUUAUUAACUACGUACAUGUAGAAUUCCAUGGGAAAAAAAAAAAUACAAUUAAGGCCUUGGGAGAUGAAUAAAAGCUUAACCUAAAAUUCAAAAUUCUCAAAACCAUGUUUUUUCACACCAAAAUGUUUCAUCCAGCCAACCUAAGACCGAUUGAAUCCUCCCUCUAAAGCACAUUGCCCAAGAUUACAGGCAACGUAGUAAUUACCUAAGCAAGUACGUCAGAAUCAUAGCAAUUUUUACCAAAGUGGGUAUCGGGAAGGAGCUUUGCCUAAUUCAUUCUUCGACAAGGUUAUCUACUUCCUCUCGUCACUGCCUUCUGUUUGAAUCAUUUGUAGUUAGUUUUAUCAAUCCAGCUAGUGUUAUUAUCAGAAAAACAUGGCUCUAACUGCUAAAGUGGAGACUGAAACAGAGAUCAAAGCACCUGCUGAUAAGUUCUUUAAACUCUUCAGGAGCCAAGCACACCACCUUCCUAAUAUCUGCUCCGAUAAAAUACACAAAAUCGAGGUACAUGAAGGUGACUGGGAGACUCAGGGCUCCGUCAAGCAUUGGAGUUACACCAUUGGUAUGACAUGCAACUCAAACUAAGAACCCCAAAACACUAGCGUUAUAUUCUGUUAAUUAAAAUAAUUUUUGAUGUUUUUGUUUCAUUUCAUUGUUGUUUUCUUCUCCUUUCAAUUAUUCUUUUAGAAUAAUAAACGCAUGCGUCUUUGUACAUUUUUUUUCUUGCAAAUAAGUGAUCGGGUCUGGGCCGCUAGUGACUAUGAUGGUUCUUAGUAAUGUACAUGACAUCUAAUAAUAGCUUCAACAUAUUCCAAUUAUGUUUAACCUCACAUUUUGGUUUUAACUAGGUGGGAAUUCUCAGAGUAUUAAAGAGACUGUGGAAUCAAUAGAUGAAGAAAACAGGUCCAUCACGUUCAAGGUUUUGGAUGGGGAGGUGCUGAAAGAAUACAAGAGCUACAAGUUCACCGCACAAGCGAUACCAAAGGGGGAGGGCAGCUUGGUGAUAUGGACCAUCGAAUAUGAGAAGGCAAGUGAGGGUGGCCCAGAUCCCCAUAACUACCUAGAGUUUGCAGUUAAUAUCACCAAAGAUAUCGAAAGUCACCUUCUCAAUGCAUAACACCAAGGUCAUAUCUACCCUUUGCUAGUAUCUCGCUCGUAAAUAAAGUUUGGACCUUGGAAGUCCAUCUACGUACGAUCUCUAUCUUUCAAUAAACGCAAAUUCCAGGUGUGGACUUGGUGAUUAAUGCCGAGAAGAUAAACUAGGUUUGCCUUGGUUAUUUGUGCAAUAAUAUUAGUGCAU
rnacentral:lncRNA from 1 species